rnacentral:rRNA from 1 species
UGACUCCUUGAGAGUCCUGAAGGAACGUUGAAGACGACGACGUUGAUAGGCCGGGUGUGUAAGCGCAGCGAUGCGUUGAGCUAACCGGUACUAAUGAACCGUGAGGCUUAACCUUACAACGCCGAAGSUGUU